rnacentral:misc_RNA from 1 species
GUGAAUCAUCGAAUUUUUGAACGCAAAUUGCACUCUCCUCUGUUAGUAUGCCCGUGUGAGGUUCAGCCUCUUAAAAAUCUACAUCGCUGCUGUUUCGCGGUGGCGUUCGUCGGAAAUUGGGUCAUCCUAAACCUUUUGGUUUUAAGCGACUUAAAAUUUCCUUUUUGGUUCUAUGAACGUCUCUAAGAU